rnacentral:rRNA from 1 species
AACGUGUCGCGAUGGAUGACUUGGCUUAAU